rnacentral:lncRNA from 1 species
UCCAGGUAGGGCUGUGCACCUGCAGCUUUGCUGUCAUCCCAGUUCCUUCAGGGGGCUUUCCUUCCCCUGGCCCUGGUGCUGUGGAUGCAGUGUCCUGUCACCAACCAUGGUCAGCACCUCCUUACCCUGGCACACAAGAUCCUUGGAAGAUCUUGCAGAGCAGAAGUGGUUGAGCCAUGGAACGUGUAACAGACCUCACGAUUAUACACCUGAAGUCUUUCAGUGUUAGAGGAGAGCCUUGAGAGAUGCUGCUAAUGAAGACAAAUGAAGGAAAAGGAACUUGACCCCAGAAUCAAGGGAACUGUGACUGGGAGAAGAAGGGGAAAGUGACCUCACCUGCCCUGUAAGGAAGAGCAUUCCGGUGAGCAGUUAUCAGACAAUAGCUGAUGCUCUGGAAUUUCCUCUAACAACAAUAACUUGUCUGCUUGCAUAUUCUCACAGUCAUUAAAAGAAGAAAUAGG